AAGCCCAUGAUGGGGACACUGUCGAAGCAUACUCUUGAAUCUGUCCCAUGCUUCAAAUAACGACUCUGAGUCUGUCUGUCUGAAACUCGCUAUUACAUUCCUCGUGU